rfam:Daphnia pulex DAPPTscaffold_37_Cont2174, whole genome shotgun sequence.
GCCUGGCUAGCUCAGUCGGUAGAGCAUGAGACUCUUAAUCUCAUGGUCGGGGGUUCGAGCCCCCCGUUGGGCG